CUAGGAGGGGAGUGGCUUUGUUAUAGUUCACACAGACCCCAAAGCAACAGAACCAAUGUGUGAUGGGUUGAAAAAUUAUGAAACUGUGAAGCAAAAUAAAACAUUCCUCUCCCUGCUGCCCCCCGCCCCAAGGUGGGGUGUGUGUGUGUGUGAUGUUUGCCUAUGCUGAUGCAUGUGCAAACACACGUAGAGGCCAGAGGUCAGUCUCAGUUAUCUUCCUCAGCCACUAUUUCUUAGGCUGGUCCAAGAUGGAGGACCCACAUCGGAGCAGCCCCCUUGGGGAAAUGGAAGGUGAAUGUUCUGCUCCUCUCAGAAGUUCUGACCCUUCUCUCAGUGGGGCAUCUGGACCACAACCUCCUGCCAUCUUAACAAGCAACGUCCCCUUAUAAUGAGAGUCCCUGACCACAGUUGUUUCUGCUUGCAGUCUUUCUUCUCCAGCACUCUCCUGCCCAACUGAAAUCACCUCAUAAAACUUCAAACAUCCUUUUGUUGGGGGCUGCUCUCUCUUAAUUUAGAGGCAGGCUGGCAGUAAGUGCCUGUGGUGGUUUGAAUAGGAAUGGCCCCCAGAGAUGCACGUGUUUGAGUGUUUGGCUAUGGCACUAUCAGGAGGUGUGGCCUUGUUAGAGGAAGGGUAUCAUUGUGGACACAGAGCCUUGAGGUCUCGUAUGUGCUCAAGCCUCACCCAGUGUGGAACACAGUCCCCUCCUUGCUGCUUGAGGAUCAAGAUGUGGAUCUCAGCCCCUUCUCCAGCAUCGUGUCUACCUCGAAGCUGCCUUGCUUUCCACCAUGAAGACAGUGAAACAAACCUCUGAAACUGUAAGACAGCCCCAACUAAAUGUCUCCCUAUAUAAAAGUUUCCUUGUUUGUGGUGUCUGUUCAUAGCAAUGGAAACAGUGAGACAGUGCCUAAACUGAAGCUCCACCUUUCAGCUUCAGCACGGCUCUGCGGGUAUUCUUUCCUUAAGCACCACACAAGUGUCCUGAAUUGGAUGGAGUGUAUUCAUGGUUGUCCCCAGGUUACUGUUACUCCCCAACUUUCUCUCCGAUUUGACCACCAACUGCCCUGUCCCCCCUGAGCACCAUGGACCUUCGGCUGGUGGUGUCAGCCCCUUUCCCAAACUUCUCACAGGAUGCUUUGAUAAGUCUUCUGGGCCUGGUGGCUGAAGACUGAUAGUGCCCUAGGAUUUGGCCCCCAACAAUGCUCCUCCCACCUCAAUGGAGGAGCCUAAGGUAACAGGCCAGAAGGCAGGUAAGCCUGCUUCAUUUGUUUUAGAUACAUAGCCCUGUGGACAGAACUGCCUUUCUACUUUGAUAAAACCUGUCCCUCACAGGUCUCAGAGUGUGUGUUGACAGCCAACCCUGUGUCCCCAGAUCACAGCUCAUUUACCAGGUCUCUGCAUCCUGAGUCCUCCUUGUGGUACUCCGAUCUUUCCAGCAGUCAAUGGUUCCUGUCCUCGGGCCCAGGACCCUUUCCUUGCCAAUGCUGCAGUUCUCCUGAUCCACCCUUGUUCCGGCCUGGCCUGGUGCUUUGUAUUCACCUGUUAAUUGCUUGCUCCCUGAUAUUCCUACUGUUAGGAGCAGUCCCUCACACACACCAAAAUGAUACCGCAUAAGCCUGCCUCCAGCGUUAUCGCUAAAUAAUGUUAUUGCUAAAUGAAGCUGCCUCCACACUGGGCGAGGCAGAAGUUAGAAGAGCAAGCGAGCCUGUGACCAGCACCAGUCUGGUGCCAUGAGGCCUGGACAGGAGCUAGACUGUGAUGGCCAUCAGCCUGGUGCACAGGCUUUCGGACACAGACCGUGCUCGAGAUGGCCCCUGUCCCACCUCAUAAUGCACUAGUGAGAUGACCCCAGACCACUCCUGAGUCCAGCCCCAGAAGCUCAGAAACCUGGAGUUCCACUAAGAGGAGCAAGUGAGUGGUGGAGAAAUGCAAGAGAAAGAAACAGAAGGACGUGGGCACAAGCAAGAAUAGGCAGACCUGGAGACUCAAGGGUAGUGAGGGACCUGAUAUGAGUACACGGUGAUACCAGGACCUUGGUGGGGUCCUGCGUGUGCUGCCACCAGGAGCCACCUCUGGUUCUGUGGCCCUGCAGCAGCCCUGUUACCAUCAAAGGCCAGGCGGACCCUCCUGGUCUGGUCUGGUCCUGGAUGUGAGGGUUGUGGGUAAGCCCCCCUGAGGGCGUGAGAGUGGGAGAGGUGAGGGGCCUGACAGAUAUCCGAGAGGCGAUGGCCUGACCAUCUCGGAUAUCUGCCAGGCUCAGAUCCAGGGCUCUGAGUUGUCUCACCCCAACACCCAUCCCAUCUAUGAACUGCUGGAGUGCUUGAAGGGGCUGGUUCUACAGACGCAAAACUAUAGGAUCUCCAUGACACAGGGCAACAACAGGACAUCCAAGAGGAGUUCCAGUACUGAGAGACUGGCAAAGACAGAGGACCCUUCCCAGACCGAGGAGUCAUUGCCAUCAACGUUUGUGAGCGAAGAAGCAUGGGCAAAAGGUUAUGCACUGUGGGAUUCACUGUCACACUCUACAGCUUCCACAAUGAGAUUUUUUUUUCUCUGU